rnacentral:rRNA from 1 species
GGAAUAUUGGACAAUGGGCGCAAGCCUGAUCCAGCCAUGCCGCGUGUGUGAAGAAGGCCUUCGGGUUGUAAAGCACUUUUGUACGGGAAGAAAAGCACUCGGUUAAUACCCGGGUGUCAUGACGGUACAGUAAGAAUCAGAACCGGCUAACUUCGUGCACGCAGCCGCGGUAAUACGAAGGGUGCAAGCGUUACUCGGAAUUACUGUGCGUAAAGGGCUCGUAGGCGGCCAACUAAGUCGGAUGUGAAAUCCCCAGGCUCAACCUGGGAACUGCAUCCGAUACUGGAUGGCUUGAAUUCGGGAGAGGGAUGCAGAAUUCCAGGUGUAGCGGUGAAAUGCGUAGAUAUCUGGAGGAAUACCGGUGGCGAAGGCGGCAUCCUGGACCGACAUUGACGCUGAGGAGCGAAAGCUAGGGGAGCAAAC